rnacentral:rRNA from 1 species
AUUGAACGCUGGCGGCAGGCCUAACACAUGCAAGUCGAGCGGAUGAAGGGAGCUUGCUCCUGGAUUCAGCGGCGGACGGGUGAGUAAUGCCUAGGAAUCUGCCUGGUAGUGGGGGAUAACGUCCGGAAACGGGCGCUAAUACCGCAUACGUCCUGAGUGAGAAAGUGGGGGAUCUUCGGACCUCACGCUAUCAGAUGAGCCUAGGUCGGAUUAGCUAGUUGGUGGGGUAAAGGCCUACCAAGGCGACGAUCCGUAACUGGUCUGAGAGGAUGAUCAGUUACACUGGAACUGAGACACGGUCCAGACUCCUACGGGAGGCAGCAGUGGGGAAUAUUGGACAAUGGGCGAAAGCCUGAUCCAGCCAUGCCGCGUGUGUGAAGAAGGUCUUCGGAUUGUAAAGCACUUUAAGUUGGGAGGAAGGGCAGUAAGUUAAUACCUUGCUGUUUUGACGUUACCAACAGAAUAAGCACCGGCUAACUUCGUG